UUCAAAUUUAGUUUCAUUUUGUUGUUUUGUUUUUGUUUGUUUCCAGCUAAUUAAUUAACAGCAUAUUGGCUUUGGAGCUGCUGUGAAGAGAACAAUGGAUGGCAGUUAAUGGAAAACACUGCAGUUACAAUUCAGCUUAGAAGUCCCUAGCCAGGGUCACCUUAAACUUGACAGACUUUUGCAGCCUGAACUGCAGGAGGACCAUGUGGAGAAAGAUGUCUCUGGGGAUGAAGUUUUCAGUGACUUUGUAAAUCAGCACUGUUUGAAAUGAAAGCUUCAAGAGGACAUACAGGAAAACUUGGCCACCCCUUCAACUCAACACAGAGAUCCUGCAGGAUGCGUUGCUGAUUUUGAGAUAUGGGAGAAUAGGAGCAUCUUUCCUGGUAAAGAAUCACUGGACAGGGGAAGAAAGAGAAGUAGGUAACAUACUUCCCCCCCCCCCCCCCCCCUUUUCCUCCUAAUAACCUAUGCAACUUUUUAACUGGUGUCAACACCCAGAGAGACAGCAGUCAGAAAAGAGAAGCGGUCUAUAGGUCCAUCAAUAGAUUGUAUCAGUAAAUAGCUUUUACAUUUUAUAUUAAAAAAAGAGCCAAAAUUAAAAUUGUGGGGUCUGUAAACUCCAAGAGGUCAAGAAUUGUGAAAACUGCCAGGUUACAGAACUGAAUUUUCAGCUGGGGAAUGCAUUCGAGGAAUCUGUAAAUUAAUCUCUCUGAAUGCCUCCAGAUGAUCAACAAGAUUUCAUCAAAGGAGACAACUCUGCAUGUAAUACAGUGUAAGGGAAGUCAAGGUAGAGGCUGGUUGUGUUGGAAAGCCAUGAGUGCUCUAUAGCAGUCUUCCCAAAAGGGUUUAAAGAAGAAAACAAACUUGCAAAUAAGCCACGCAGUUGUGGUGAGUUGUGUUCCCUUCACGUUCCAUGGCUCGGUGCUGGUUUCUUUUGGAAGUAGCUGUCUUUGGAAGUGGUUGUUCUUCCAGUCAUGCACUAUUUACACAGCUGAAAUGUGACAGCACAUAUAGUGCCAAUCGGUUUCUGUGUGUAUUUAUAUACAUAUAUAGUGUGUGUAUAUUUACACAACUCACAGUGUCCUCAACUGGCAGAAAUUCCAACAUCCCUACAAGAUACACAAAGAAUUUAUGCUUGGUCAAUAUGGCACUGGUACACGGUACUCAGAUAUUUGGCUUUUAGUUCUUUAAUAGCUGUCAGGAAAUAGACUUCAUGCUUGUACAGCAGCUCAGCAAAGAGCUGAGAACUCAAAGCUGUGUUUUUAAGGAACAUUGAAGACUGUGACAAGACUUCGUUUUUUCUCUCCCUUAAUGGCAAACAGAGGUAAUUGACAAUAUAUCUACUGCACAAUUAACAUUUUCAGUUGGUUUGAGUAUCCUUCUGCUUUAGUCAUUCCUGGCACAAGUCCACUGGACUUAAAGAAGGAAUGAAGCAAGCUCUGAGGUUAGCUGAACAGUAGCAUUUUGCUAAGGGACACUGAAAUUUAUAAGGUUAAGAGCUUGUUAAUAAAACAUAAUUGUGUGUACUUUUUGCUUCCAUAAAAUGUUUCAUAAAAUGAUCACUUUAUUCCAGUGUUAAUGCUCUUGUUGUGCAGAGACUGCUGCCAUGGGUCUGUGACUUGUAAAAAUAAUGUGAGCUGAUGAGCAACUUGCAUGGUCUUUGCCAAACUACUGAGUUAUAUUAAUAGCUGAUCACAGCCUACUAUUUUAUUAGGACAGCAUUUUCUAAGCUAUUGACAGAUAUAUCAACAGCACUGUGGGGCAUCCACAGCUUCUGUGGGCAACCUGUGCCAGUGUCUCACCACCCUCACAGGGAAGAAUGUCUUUCUUGUAUCUAGUCUAAAUCUAUCCAAUCUAAAUCUCCCCUCUGGCAGGUUAAAGCCAUUCCCCCUUGUUCUGUCCCUGCAGGCUCUUGUCCAAAGCCCCUCUCCAGGUUUCUCGUAGCUCCUUUAGGCACUGGAAGCUGCUCUAAGGUCUCCCCUUAAGGAGCCUUCUCUUCUCCAGGCUGAACAAGAAGAGCCUCUCUCAGGCAACUGUGAAAGCUGAAGGAAGCAAUUCAAGGCACUUGCUGCAUGGACAAACUAUAUGUGGGCAUGCUCUUGCACUCAAGAUUUGUGACCUGAAUCUGACUUCUCUCUCUAAACUAGUUCACUGCCUUCCAGUAGCAAGCUACUGAAAAUGCAGGUAAUGUGAUUAUGAAAAAUCAAGUGCUGUGUAAAAGUAGACUAUGCACUUAACCCUGUGUGAGGCAAAGCAGCUAUGUGAGUCUUCAAACCAUAAUUCUCUUCCUUCUUUAGCAGGACACCACCUGCUAUUGAAGUCACUAACUAUUCUGAUUAGACAAAUUUCCAUAUGCAUUCUCCUUGUGUCUCAGUAAUGAGGAGUGUGCUUGUUCCAAAAUAGCCCUUCUACAGCUAAAUGUGAGAGCAUGUGUAUCUGAUUCAUUUUGAGCUUGGAGUUUCUUGUAUUGAAAACAGGAAUACUCCCAAGAAGUAAAUACUUAAAUAAAAGCUGAUGCAAGUAAGAGGAAUGCUGAAUCCACAGAAUGCAUUAUUAACAGCAUAUUAGUACACACACUGGCUGAGACACAUAGGUAGUUGUGCAUGCUGCAAAUAAUUCUCUGGGUGUCAAAACAGUCGUGCACAGGGUAACUGAACACAUUGCAGGCAAAAUGGCAUGAGCCAUUUAAAAUCGUGAUUCAUUCAUGAAUCAGUGGAUAGCUGUUCUGACACUCUAACAGUCUAUUAAAGCAGUUGGGCAAAACCCUUGUGACUGGAGGAUUAAGGGUGACCUCUUUUCCUGCUGUCCUCAUCUAAGCUGGUGUAUGCCUGUGUCUAUACACACGUGAAGCCUUUACUACUCCUUUAGGUUUCCUUGCAGAAAUAUCAAAGUGUGGUUGCUUUACCACAUCAGCUUGAAUUUUGUUCUUGUGCUUCUCCACAAAAGUAACUUCUUUUCUAGCCUGCCUUUGACUAUAAGAGAACUUCCCAAGGAGCAGCCAGAAAGAAACCCCCGUCAGACUGAAGUUGUUGAAUUUGGGUAUGAUCAUGCAAACAGCCAUGCAGAAUUUAUUUAACCUUCAGCCAGUUGCUCAACCAAGUUGAAAUUAUUGAUAGCCCAUCAACAAUGAUCAAGAUGGAGAGACUAAAUGAAGAGGUGCCUUUGCUUUUUCUUCUCCAGUCUCCCCUCCCCCCUUUGCCCCCCCCUUUUUAAUAAGAGAGCCAUUGAUCUGAUAACAGGACUUGAAAAGCCGUGUCAGCUCAGCUAGCAUGGUCAAGGAGCUCAGCUGUAGAAGGGAAAUAAAACUGUUCAGUUACGGCUGCCCUCCAAUCAGUCACAGGGGUAAUGAUGUUUGGCUUUAGUCAGGUUAUAUGUCAGUAAAUAUACAUCUCUCAGACAGCCUUUAAGACAUCCUUAAGCUCAUGCUUAUUGUUUUAUAUAGAUAGGGGUCGGAUGCUGAUAUAUGGUGGUCAUAGGCCACUGAAAUAAAUUUCACAAUAUUCAGCUGGUAAAGUUAAUCUCAAUAGAUGAGAAUGUGACCGCAGUUUUGAUAGAAUAUUCACUCCAUUGACAGUGAUGGGACAUUUUUUCUCUGUAAGGUUUUGUGCAAAUCACUCAAAUGCAGAUAGUAUUUUUCCCUGCCUUCAUUCUAAGUGUAUCACACCUGAAGUGAGCAGUUACAACCAGUCUUUACUGUAGAACCUUGGCAAGUUCAAAAUUCCAGGCUCUAACCACAGCUGUGGGCUAUGUUCUGUUCACCCACCAUGCUCACAGGAAUGUGUGAAUCACACUGGAAGGCAGGGAGACCUCAGCAUUCCAGGUUCUGCCAAGUACUGGAAAAUCCAAAUGUCAUCUCUCUCAUAUGUGAUAGUGUGAACUGUCUCAGGAGCAAAGGACUGAGACAAGACCACACCAAAACAGACAUUCUAGACUAACAGCCCUAUAAAUUAAAAUCUUACUUUAAAAAUGUUACUGUAGACUGUGAAAAAUAUUUUUUACCAUCC